AUACGGAGGGGGCUAGCGUUGUUCGGAAUUACUGGGCGUAAAGCGCGCGUAGGCGGAUCGUUAAGUCAGGGGUGAAAGCCCGGAGCUCAACUCCGGAACUGCCCUUGAUACUGGCGAUCUCGAGUCCGGGAGAGGUGAGCGGAAUUCCUAGUGUAGAGGUGAAAUUCGUAGAUAUUAGGAGGAACACCAGUGGCGAAGGCGGCUCACUGGCCCGGUACUGACGCUGAGGUGCGAAAGCGUGGGUAGCAAACGGGAUUAGAAACCCCAGUAGUCC
rnacentral:rRNA from 1 species